GUGGGGAAUAUUGCGCAAUGGGGGAAACCCUGACGCAGCAACGCCGCGUGAGUGAUGAAGGUCUUCGGAUUGUAAAACUCUGUCUUUGGGGACGAUAAUGACGGUACCCAAGGAGGAAGCCACGGCUAACUACGUGCCAGCAGCCGCGGUAAUACGUAGGUGGCAAGCGUUGUCCGGAUUUACUGGGCGUAAAGAGUAUGUAGGCGGACAUUUAAGUCAGAUGUGAAAUCCCCGGGCUUAACCUGGGAGCUGCAUUUGAUACUGGGUGUCUAGAGUGUAGGAGAGGAAAGUGGAAUUCCUAGUGUAGCGGUGAAAUGCGUAGAGAUUAGGAAGAACACCAGUGGCGAAGGCGACUUUCUGGACUAUAACUGACGCUGAGAUACGAAAGCGUGGGGAGCAAACAGG
rnacentral:rRNA from 1 species